GACGAACGCUGGCGGCGUGCUUAACACAUGCAAGUCGAACGGAAAGGCCUGCUUUCCCUUGUGGGUUGCGGGUACUCGCGUGGCGAACGGGUGAGUAACACGUGAGUGAUCUGCCCCCAACUUGGGUAUAAGCCUGGGAAACUGGGGCUAAUUCCCGAUAGGACUGCAGGGUGGUGCCUGUGGUGGAAGACGAUUUUCUAGUGGUUGGGGAUGAGCUCGCGGCCUAUCAGCUUGUUGGUGGGGUAAUGGCCUACCAAGGCGGCGACGGGUAGCCGGCCUGGGAGAGUGGACGGGCACAGUGGGACUGAGAUACGGCCCAGGCGCCUACGGGAGGAAGCAGUGGGGAAUAUUGCGCAGUGAGCGGAAGCCUGAGGCAGCGACGCUGCGUGGGGAAUGACGGCCUUCGGGUGGUGAACUCCUUUCGGCCGCGAGGAAGCCACCUGGUUGGAAGGGUGGUGACGGUAGUGGUAGAAGAAGCACCGGCUAACUACGUG
rnacentral:rRNA from 1 species